GAUGAACGCUGGCUACAGGCUUAACACAUGCAAGUCGCGGGGCAGCAUGGGGGUUGCUUGCAACCCCUGAUGGCGACCGUCGCACGGGUGAGUAACGCUUAUCCAACCUCCCCUUCACCACGGCAUAACCCGGCUAAAGUCGGAGUAAUACCGUAUGUUGUCCAUUGACUGCAUCCGAGUUGGACUAACGGCUUGGCGGGGAAAGGGUGUGGAUGCGCGCGAUUAGCUAGACGGCGGGGUAACUGCCCCCCGUGGCCACGGACGGUAGGGGUUCUGAGAGGAAGGUCGCCCACACUGGAGCUGAGACACGCACCAGACUACUAAGGGACGCAGCAGUGAGGUAUAUUAGUCAAUGGGCGUAAGCCUGAACCAGCCAAGUAGAGCGCAGGAUGACGGCCCUAUGGGUUGUAAACUGCUUUUAUGCGGGGAUAAAGUGGCUAACGUGUGGGAUUUUGAAGGUACCGCAUGAAUAAGGACCGGCUAAUUCCGUG
rnacentral:rRNA from 1 species